ACUCCUACGGGAGGCAGCAGUGGGGAAUCUUGGACAAUGGGCGCAAGCCUGAUCCAGCCAUGCCGCGUGAGUGAUGAAGGCCCUAGGGUCGUAAAGCUCUUUCGCCAGGGAUGAUAAUGACAGUACCUGGUAAAGAAACCCCGGCUAACUCCGUGCCAGCAGCCGCGGUAAUACGGAGGGGGUUAGCGUUGUUCGGAAUUACUGGGGCGUAAAGCGCGCGUAGGCGGACUGGAAAGUUGGGGGUGAAAUCCCGGGGGCUCAACCUCGGAACUGCCUCCAAAACUCCCAGUCUUGAGUUCGAGAGAGGUGAGUGGAAUUCCGAGUGUAGAGGUGAAAUUCGUAGAUAUUCGGAGGAACACCAGUGGCGAAGGCGGCUCACUGGCUCGAUACUGACGCUGAGGUGCGAAAGUGUGGGGAGCAAACAGGAUUAGAUACCCUGGCAGGAUAGCG
rnacentral:rRNA from 1 species